CCCGGCCCUGCCCCGUGGCCCCGGGCGGCCCCUCGGCCCCGGCCUGCCCGCGGCGCUCCCGGCCCCGUGCUCUGACGCUCGGUCUGAUGCUGAAGUCGGGAGAAAAUGGACGUGGGAGCGGCAGGUGGGGGUGGCUGAGCUCGGUGAGGUGAAUAAUAAUGUUCAGAAACCACUGCAUGUAGCUGGCCAGAAGUCCAAGCAGGGUACACCAUGCUGCAUAUGUUCGGAUGGGACACUGAAGAUGUUUUCAAGCAAAAUGACGUGCAGUUCUCAUUUUCUCUGAAGCUGGUAGAUAUGCUAUUGGCAUUAAAAGUCAAUAAAAGGAGUUUUACAU